GAGGUCACCUGCAGAUGGAGCAGACUAAGAAGAUUUUUGCCCUCCUUGAACUUCCACUAAAUAGAAAAUUACACCUAGAUCGGUGGAGUAGGGUUAAAAGAUGUUGGUCUCCAUAGAACAUGUCUAUAGUACAAGGGAAAAUUAGACUUAAGCAAAACUUUGUAUGAGCCGGUUUGUCCAAAUCAAAUUCCUUUUAAUCUACACCAAAACGAG